CUGUCCUUAGUUCCCAUCAUUCAGUUGGGCACUCUAGGGAGACAAACCCUCUUUGGGGGUGGGAAGGUGGGGAUGACGUCAAGUCAGGAUGGCCCUUACGGCCAGGGCUGCACACGUACUACAAUGCCCGGUACAGAGGGAAGCAAUACCGCGAGGUGGAGCAAAUCCUCAAAACCGGGCCCAGUUCAGAUUGAAGUCUGCAACUCGACUACAUGAAGUUGGAAUCGCUAGUAAUGGCGCAUCAGCUACGGCGCCGUGAAUACGUUCCCGGGCCUU
rnacentral:rRNA from 1 species